GUCCUAAGGUAGCGAAAUUCCUUGGCAUUUGAUUGAUGUCCUGCAUGAAUGGCGUAACGACUAUCCCACUGUCUCCAGCACAAGCUCAGUGAAAUUGAAUUUUCUGUGAAGAUGCAGAGUACUUGCGGCUAGACGGAAAGACCCCGUGCACCUUUACUACAGUUAUGUAUUGUAAUAAAAAAUUUCUUUGUUUAGCAUAAGUGGGAAGUUGAUAUAAAAUGUUUGCGUCAGUAAAUUACCAAAACUUUCAUGAAAUACCACUCUUAAAAUUUUUUAUUACUCAUUGAUUAAGACAGUGCAUAAUGGGUAGUUUGACUGGGG
rnacentral:rRNA from 1 species